GACGUUGAUAGGUCGGGUGUGUAAGCGCAGCGAUGCGUUGAGCUAACCGAUACUAAUGAACCGUGAGGCUUAACCUUACAACGCCGAAGC
rnacentral:rRNA from 4 species